CUCUGAGGCCUAAAGUAUUUCAGAAUAUCCAAUAGCAUCCAUGACAAUGAUACGUGAAAGGAGGCUAAAUUGGACCAAAAUAGAGCUAAGAAACUGAACUGCAGCUGACCAAGAAGGAAAAACAAAACUUGAAACCAGAGUACGGACACACUGCAUUUGGGGAAACCAGUGAGGACGUGCAGAGCAGGCUCCUGGAACAUUUGUUGGCAUGGGUGGGAGAAGACCUGCUUUUCUCUUGGUGGAAGACCCUGCAGGGGACAAUCUGUACAACUGUUUGGCUGAAGAAAGUGGCAUGCAAGACUAAAUUGGCAGGGUCUCAUCUCAGUGAUUUACUUUAAAAUGAAAGCUAGGGUGCAAACAUUAGAGGCAGAUUUUGUGCCCACUGGAAAGUGAUGUGACCAAACAACCAAGCCCAGCGUGAAGUUAGCAUAAGUGUUAUUAUUCAUCCAAAACCGAAACAGAGCAAACCAAAGGCCCUGUCUACGCUGGGAUCAGGAUUGGGCUAGCGUUAACCAUGUUGCUGCUGAUAAAACCACAGCAAUAUCUCUACAUCUGGAGUUUCUGUUCAGUGGUUAUACAUUCUGGGAUGCUGUUUAAUAAUGUAUUAAACUAGGGUAUUGUAAAGGUGUGGUAAGCAACAUUUUGUUUUACCAUUACAUUAAUAAUAGGUGUUAUUUAUUCUUUAUUGCCCAAAAAUACUUUAUAGACGUGUUAAUACUGCCUCCAAAUAAAUGUUUAUGGAAUCAUUAAUUCUGGUUUUAU
rnacentral:lncRNA from 1 species